CAGUCGCCGCGGGAACACAGAGGGUGCGAGCGUUAAUCGGAUUUACUGGGCGUAAAGCGUGCGUAGGCGGCUUCUUAAGUCGGAUGUGAAAUCCCUGAGCUUAACUUAGGAAUUGCAUUCGAUACUGGGAAGCUAGAGUAUGGGAGAGGAUGGUAGAAUUCCAGGUGUAGCGGUGAAAUGCGUAGAGAUCGGGAGGAACAUCAGUGGCGAAGGCGGCCAUCUGGGACAACACUGACGCUGAGGCACGAAAGCGUGGGGAGCAAACAGGAUUAGAUACCCCAGUAGUCCCUGUCUCUUAUAC
rnacentral:rRNA from 1 species